AAAGACUUAAUUCUUCGGUUUGCGUGUACAACGUUUGACCGUCUGUCUUAUAUAAAAUUUUUUUUAUGAUUAGUAUUUUCAUUAUUAUUAGAUGAUAAAACAUGAAUAAUACUUUAUGCAUGACUUAUCUUUGUAAAUUUUUUUAUAUUUUUUUUAAAUAAGACAGAUGGUCAAACAUUAAACACGGAAACUCAGG
rfam:Oryza meridionalis cultivar OR44 (W2112) chromosome 1, whole genome shotgun sequence.